CAGACAGGACCCAGUCCGUCCCCAGACGCAGUCCGGUUCCUAAGUCAGACCCAGUAGACUCACGCUAGUUUCUCGAAGUCCUCUGGAAAAAGAAAUACUCAAAGUCUGAAAGCUUGUAAAUAACACAAGCUGUGAAGCUAGAAUCCGCGAAGAACUUCCUCCGGACCUCCUGGGGCAUCGAGAGAGCAAGAAGCUCAAGGGGCUCAACAGGGAGAUGCACUGGCCUCCUGCCAGUUCUUCAAAAGGCUCCUUCCAGCCUAGCGGAAUGUGGUCGCCUCUCCCAGGAAUGCUGUUCCCCCUGCCCUUGGUUUUCUAAUAGGAGGAAUGGAAUGGGAAGGCUUCCCUGGUGGCUCGGACAAUAAAGAAUCCACCUACGAUGCAGGAGACCUGGGUUCGAUCCUUGGGUCAGGGAGAUCCCCUGGAGAAGGGAAUGGCUACCCACUGCAGUAUUCU